UACAGAGACCUCAAGCGUUUAUCCGGAAUCAUUGGGCGUAAAGCGUACCGAUCGGUGGUUAAGAAAGUCAGAAGUGAAAUCUCUCAGCUUAACUGGGAGACUGUCUUUUGAAACUUCUUAAAGCUCGAGGGGCAAAGAGGAAGCUGGAACGAACGGUGUAGUAGUGAAAUGCGUUGAUAUCGUUCGGAACACCAAUAGCGAAGGCAGGCUUCUGGGUGCCACCUGACACUGCUAGGACGAAAGCGUGGGGAGCGAAUGGG
rnacentral:rRNA from 1 species